rnacentral:lncRNA from 1 species
GAAUUCCUUCAUGGCUCAGCAGGUUAAGGAUUUGGCCACUGGCCACUGUCACUGCUCUGGCUCUGUUUACAGCUGUCAGGGGGGUUUGAUCUCUGGCCAGGGAUCUUCCGCAUGCCACAGGUGCAGCCAAAAAAAAAAAAAAGGGGAAUUCAGAUUGUCAUACUUUUAAUGUUUGCUGAACUAGUGAGUGCAAAAUGAUAUCUUAGUUUUAAUUUGUAGUUCCUGAAUAAUUAAUUUGGUUGAGUAUUUAUUUAUUCAUGUGUUUGUUGGCUUUUCUAAUUUCCUUAUCUACAAAGUAAAUGCAGUUCAUAUCUCUCUUUACUUUCUUAGCCCUUUUAUAUCCACAUGUGGAUGAGGAGUUAAAGAUACAUGAGUAGCACUGAGGCAGAUGAAGAGGAAUGAGGCAGAAUGAGUGUUCCAAGAAGAGAAGACACCAUAUUUGAAAUGCCAGACAUCAGUGAGAAUGUGGGGUGUUUGAGAAACCAAGAGAAAUCCUAUGCAUUAUGAUGCUAAAAUGCAAGCUUUGAUUUUAAGACUUCUCCUGGUACAGACCAGGUUCUCCAGAAGAGAUGCUGGACAGAGUUUGGGUUGCAAGGUAUGUGCUGGGGUCAACAUUUUUGUAAGGAAGGGGAAGCAGAGGGAGAAAUCUUUCUGUGCUAUAGCCCUGACAGUUUCCAGCAACUCAGCUGGCUACAUUGGA